UGGGGAAUAUUGCACAAUGGGCGCAAGCCUGAUGCAGCCAUGCCGCGUGUAUGAAGAAGGCCUUCGGGUUGUAAAGUACUUUCAGCGGGGAGGAAGGGAGUAAAGUUAAUACCUUUGCUCAUUGACGUUAGCCGCAGAAGAAGCACCGGCUAACUCCGUGCCAGCAGCCGCGGUAAUACGGAGGGUGCAAGCGUUAUUCGGAAUUACUGGGCGUAAAGCGCACGCAGGCGGUUUGUUAAGUCAGAUGUGAAAUCCCCGGGCUCAACCUGGCAACUGCAUCUGAUACUGGCAAGCUUGUGUCUCGUAGAGGGGGGUAGAAUUCCACGUGUAGCGGUGAAAUGCGUGGAGAUCUGGAGGAAUACCGGUGGCGAAGGCGGCCCCCUGGACGAAGACUGACGCUCAGGUGCGAAAGCGUGGGGAGCAAACAGG
rnacentral:rRNA from 1 species